UUUGAAGAAAAUAAGCCUUGAAGCACAUGCAUGCUGCCGUGGAGAGCAUAGUGGUUUGACCAACUAUUUUAUUUACUCAGACCGGAUGUGAAGCUUUCCUUUAGGAUAGAUGUUUGCUUUGGCUUGAGGUGCUCAGUGCUACCCCAGGAUGUGAGGUGGUCCCAGGAGAAGAAUCAUCAUGGAAACGAAGUGGAAACUGACCAGUGGACUCAGACACCACUCAGUGCCAACAGUGGGGGGAUAGAACAGACAGAGCUAACUUUGGGGACCAGGGAGGAGAGUCACGGCCGACCUGCAGUUCUGAACAGGAACCCCAACCAGACCCGGUUCACAUCCUCCCUUUCCUUCAGACUCUCCUCUCAACACAGCAAGAAAAACGACCUGGAAAAACUAGAGUCCACAGCUCAGAGGGAACACUGUCUACACAGGUGAGACAGAGCAUUUUUAAAGCUAGAGUUUAUUGCCUUAGUUAUGGGAUUUUGCAUUAUACAGUGAUGCAUUUUUUUAUUGCCCCUCUCUUAGACACUAUCCUUCUUUUACCAUCUAUGUAUGUGUACAGACAGAAUUGCACCAACACGGCUCCAUAAAUCAAUAUGGUUUAACCAAGGUUAAUUAGUUCCUUGGACUGCUGUACUGAGGAAAUACUUCAGAUUGAUUUCUUAGGUGUGUGUGUGUGUGUGUGUGUGUGUGUGUGUGUGUGUGUGCAUGAUUCUGUGCGCGCGUGUGUAAUAUGUGUCAGGGAUGAAUGCAACUCUUAUCAGUACGAGUCAUUUAUCAAACACUGUCCCUUAGUAACAGACGACCUUUACCUGGCUGUAUUGUCACCUAUCCAUGUCAGCUCUUAAGACUGAGGCUACACACCUCUCAACAUCAACUUCUAUACUAGCACUGUGGCCCUGUGUUUGUGUGUGAUGUCUUUAUUACAAGUGUGAUGUUAAGGCAUUCAGUUAAUAGUUCCACUAUUGCUAACAUAGCCCAGGCAACACCACUGGAAGUAGUCGGGGGCGGGGGUGCUGCUGUGAUGUUUUCCACGCAGAAAGAAAAACAUUGCCUCUGCUGAAGAUGUCUAUAUGUGGUCUGCUAAAACAGGACUAUUAAAGGCCCUGUUUACUAACUAAAUGUACUUGUAGUUGAGUGUUUACCAGCAUUUGUAACUUCUGAGUUUGAUAAUUAUCUGCACCAAACAGUUAAUCUGAUUAAUACUGUUGGAAUAUAAAAAUAGUUGCUUGAUAUGUUUUCCAGUUUCUUGAAAUACUUUGCAAAUGCAACUUAUUUCUUUGUGAACUGAAAUGGUCUAUUCAUUCCUUUUCAGUAGACACUCUUACCCAGAGCAACUUACAGUAGGGAGUGCAUACAUUUUCAUAGUUUUUCGUACUGGUCCCCUGUGGGAAUCAAACCCACAACCCUAGCAUUGCAAGCGCCAUGCUCUACCAAGUCAGCCACAUCAUCACAAACCACUUGAUGUCUCAAUGUACUCAAUUACUCUACUGUACAUUGUUUUUCUUCAUGGUGAUGGAAAGUCUAGUUACAAUCCUAGAUGACCAGCUUGUGUACAAUACAGUAAUGUACAUUAUGUGGUUUGUAACGAUGGUAAAUUAAUACUGCACAAAAAGUGGUUGUUUUCCAUGUUAUUUGAUGAAUAAAAACAUUUACUUUCGUAUGGAUGUUUUGUGUCUUUGCCCAUAACUUUGCAC
ensembl:lncRNA